GAGGGAGUCCUGGACUAGGGGGUGUCCGGGUAGCCGGACUAUCAAUAUCCGCCGGACUCCCAGACUACGAAGAUAGAAGAUUGAAGACUCCGGCUCGUGUCCGGAAGGUACUUUCCUUGGCGUGGAAGGCAAGGUUGGCGAUACGGAUAUGUAGAUCUCCUACCAUUGUAACCGACUCUGUGUAACCCUAGCCUCUCCAGUGUCUAUAUAAACCGGAGGGCUUUAGUCCGUAGGACACAACAUUACAUCUCAACAAUCAUACCAUAGGCUAGCUUCUAGGGUUUAGCCUCCUUGAUCUCGUGGUAGAUCUACUCUUGUACUACCCAUAUCAUCAAUAUUAAUCAAGCAGGACGUAGGGUAUUACCUCCAUCGAGAGGGCCUGAACCUGGGUAAAAACAUUGUGUCCCUCGUCUCCUGUUACCAUCCGCCUAGACGCACAAUUCGGGACGCCCUACCCGAGAUCCGCCGGUUUUGACACCGACAUUGGUGCUUUCAUUGAGAGUUCCUCUGUGUCGUCACCGAUAGGCCGGAUGCCUUUACCCGUCUUCAAGGACGGUGUUCUCGCCGGAGGGGCCUUGGCCGCCGGUCAAACAAUCCGGCUUGGCGGUUUCCUUAUGACCGCCUCUCCGGUCGUCGCUUCGGCACUGACUUCUCAAGUCGUCGAAAGCAGUCUUCGCGUCAGCCCUAAAGCUGCCGAACAGUUAGAUCCAAUCGAGCUCUCGUCUGUCAACGAGCUCUUGGAUCGCAUCGGCGCCCCGGGAGUCGCAACAGACUACAAUCAGAUUGGGCAUAAAACCGAUCUGAGAGAGAUUAACUCUCCCCAGGUUACCCACCACAUCGAAGUGGUAGAAGAACAACUCGGCAACUCGUUGCCAUUGUUGAAAACAAUCUGUGUUCGGAUUCCCGAACCCUCCAUGCCGGAUUCCCGCGGAGGGGCGGACUCUGAUCGAGCAUUGAACCUAAAAUCAUGCAUCGCUCCGGACCCGCUGGGCUGUUUCCAGCAAAUCAAGCUUCCGAAUUCGGAAGUCCCUCGGCCAUUGAGCCCAAAGAUGGGCAGGGAUCCGGAUGUAAUUCCACCCACCCGCCCAGACAUAUGCUACCUAUCUCUAAUUCGGCAAGAGCCCUCAGAAACAGUACAUCAUUACUCGGCCCGAUUCCUCCUGGUUAUGGACAGGAUAAAGGACUGCCGAGAGGAGAACGCAAUCUCAAUAUUCUGCAAUAACUGCACGGACAAGGGAAUCCUGAACGCCAUUGAUCGUCGCAAGAUUAAGCGUUUUACCGAUCUGGCGUCCAUAGUGCGAAAGUACUGUGCGACGGAAAGUUUCCGGAAAACUGAAAAUCAAUUUUGGGAUAAUCCGGCCCCAAACCCAGUCCGCGGUAAAAGGGCGCCUCGCAAUCAGGCCCCAGAUGCAAAAACCAAAAAGCAAAAACCCAGCAAGGGAAACGGAACCGUACUGGAGGGAUGGCUCAAUGGACCCUGUAAACUUCAUAAUACUGGGGGAGCUGUCCCAACGCAUAGCCUUCGAGCAUGUUGGAUAUUACGGCAGGUGGCCAAAAGUGGCGAAGAGCUUCUAGCUCCGGGAAACCACUCCAACAACACCAGCACGUUAUCAACAGUCUUCGAGACUUUCGCAUCAAAUAAUAUGCGAAAACGAACAAUCCGCGAACUCGCCGAAGUCUACCAAGUAGCAACAGCAAAUCCAUGGAGCCACACAACUAUCACCUUCAGCGCCAGCGACGAGCCCACAUCUCGAACUACCAGAGCCCCAGGCGCACUGGUACUUAGUCCCAUAGUGGACAGCUUUCGACUGACAAAAGUCCUCAUGGACGGCGGCAGCGGACUAAACCUCAUUUAUGAGGAAACCCUGCGGAAAAUGGAAAUCGAUUGGAGCCGUAUUGAGCGAAGCAGCACAACCUUCAGAGGAAUAAUACCUAGCCGGGAAGCGCGCUGCACCGGAAAAAUCACACUUGAUGUGGUGUUCGGCUCUCCGGACAAUUACAGAUCCAAAGAAGUCACGUUCCAGGUGGCCCCGUUCAGCAGCGGCUAUCACGCCAUAUUAGGACGAGAGGCAUUCACAAUUUUUCAAGCAAUACCUCAUUACGGGUACAUGAAGCUCAAAAUGCCUGGGCCCAGCGAAAUAAUCACUCUCGUCAGUGAUCCAGACACAGCACUCCGCGCCGAAAACAAGACAGCCGCACUAGCCCUCGAGGCGCUAUCCGAAGCCUUAGCAGCAGAGGAACUUACCGCGCUACGCUCUACGGUAAAUAGGGACGACGUGAUACUUGAUAAAAGAUCCAAGUCCACCUCCUUCAAACCAGCAGAUGAGAUAGUUAAUUUCAGGUCCACCCAACGGACCCAACAAAGACUGCCUCUAUCGGGGCACAGUUGAACCCCGAAGUGGACGCCGCACUGCGCGAAUUCCUUCGGGAAAAUUGGCACAUUUUCGCCUGGCACCCUUCAGACAUGCCCGGAAUCCCUCGCAGGUUGGCAGAACACAGCCUAAACAUCCUAAAAGGAUUCAAGCCAGUCAAACAGGCUCUUCGACGAUAUUCCGAGCCCAAAAGACAGGCAAUGGGAGAAGAUCUAGCCAAGUUAUUGGAAGCCGGAUUCAUCAGAGACAUCAAACAUCCGGACUGGCUAGCAAAUUUGGUGAUGGUACCAAAGAAAGACAAAUCCUGGCGCCUCUGCGUCGACUUCAAAGACCUCAAUAAGGCUUGCCCAAAGGAUCCUUUCCCCCUCCCCCGCAUUGAUCAAAUUAUCGACGCCACAGCAGGACACGACUCGUUGUGCUUCCUGGACGCAUACUCUGGCUACCAUCAAAUCAAGAUGGCUGAAGCGGAUCAAGCCGCAACGGCAUUCAUUACUCCAUACGGACCAUUCUGCUUCAACACGAUGCCCUUCGGACUUCAAAACGCCAGCGCAACAUAUCAGCGCAUGAUUCAAACAUGUCUGGCUACCCAGAUCGGCAAAACAGUCGAGGCAUACGUAGACGACGUAGUCGUCAAAACAAAACACGUCGAAACCUUAGUAGACGAUUUGAGGCUCGCAUUCGACAACCUCAGAGCAUAUGACAUCAAGCUGAAUCCAGAAAAAUGUGUUUUCGGCGUACCAGCCGGGAAGCUGCUGGGCUUCAUUGUAUCCGGUAGAGGAAUCGAAGCAAAUCCGGCCAAAAUCCUGGCUCUGUCACAGUUGGACAUUCAAAAGGACCUCAAGCAAAUACAAAAAUUAACAGGAUGCGUGGCAGCCUUAAGCCGUUUGAUCUCCCGUUUAGGAGAGAAGGCGCUGCCUCUUUAUCGCCUCCUAAGGCGCACCGAACACUUCGAGUGAAUGGAUGCCGCCACGGCCGGACAUGAAGAAAUAAAGGCCAUACCGGCAACAAAUCUGGUCCUGGCUGCGCCCACUCAGGGCGAACCAAUGUUGUUAUACAUCGUUGCAACACAUCAAGUUGUGAGCGAUGUCCUCGUCGUCGAACGAGCAACAGAAGGGCAUAAAUUCCCUCUUCAAAAACCAGUGUAUUAUGUAUCCACUGUGUUAACCCCCUGCAAAUCCCGUUACCCGCACUAUCAAAAGAUAGCAUAUGCAGUGUUCAUGGCAUCUCGGAAGCUUCGGCACUACUUUCAAGAGUGUUCGAUAACAGUGGCUUCUGAAGUACCACUCAAUGACAUUAUAAAUAACCGCGACGCAAUGGGCAGGAUUGCAAAAUGGGCCAUUGAGCUCUUGCCAUUCGACAUAACUUACAAACCUCGACGAGCCAUAAAGUCACAAGUUUUGGCUGACUUUGUCGCCGAAUGGACUGAAGCCGAACUACCUAAAGAGUACGGCGCAUACUCCAAUUGGACUAUGCACUUCGACGGCUCCAAAAUGUUGGCCGGACUGGGGGCUGGCGUCGUACCGACGUCCCCCACUGGAGAUACAGUCCAGUAUGUACUUCAAAUAAUGUACACGGACUCCAACAAUGCAGCCGAAUACGAGGCCUUGUUACAUGGUCUCCGGAUGGCAGUCUCCAUGGGCAUUCAACGCCUAGAGGUGCGCGGGGAUUCAAACCUUGCAAUAUCCCAAAUAAAUGGAGACUUUGACGCCAAGGAUCCGAAAAUGGCAGCAUAUCGUAACGCUGUCCUGAAAAUGUCAGCUCGGUUUGAAGGACUCGAAUUCCAUAACAUAGCCCGAGAUAACAACCAAGCGGCCGACAUCCUGGCACGCAUCGAUGCGAAACGUGACGCUGUCCCUCCAAAUAUCUUCCUGGAACGGCUCUUCAAGCCAUCCGUACUAUGGGAAGAGGAGUCCGGUAGUGACAAACCAGAGAAAGCCGCACCAACUGGUGAUUCAGCAGACGACAUAACACAAUCCACCCACGAUAUAAUGGCAGUAAUCGCCGCAUGGACAGAACCUUUCCUGGCCUACUUACUUAGGCAGGAACUUCCCGAAGACCAAAAUGAGGCCCGCUGCAUAGUCCGGCGAUCGAAGGCCUACAAGGUUCAUGAGGGAGAACUUUAUAAGAAAAGUACUACCGGAGUCCUUCAAAGGUGUAUCUCUGAAGAAGAAGGGCGAAACCUCCUGGCUGAAAUCCACGCCGGACUAGGUGGGCACCACGCAGCAGCCCGGGCCCUGGUAGGAAAGGCAUUCCGUACAGGAUUUUAUUGGCCGACGGCUCGGGCAGAUGCACAGGACUUGGUCCAGCGAUGCGUUGGUUGCCAGCUCUUCGCUAAUCAGAGCCAUAUGCCACCCACCGCCCUCAAAACAAUACCCAUUACAUGGCCGUUCGCGGUCUGGGGGCUUGACAUGGUCGGACCCCUCAAAGGGGGAACCCAUAAGAAAAGGUACCUGUUGGUCAUGGUGGAUAAGUUCACUAAAUGGAUAGAGGCCAAACCGGUCAAAACGGCAGAGUCCGGACCAGUGAUAGACUUUAUAUCAGAGGUGGUACACCGAUACGGAGUCCCCCACAGCAUCAUCACCGAUAACGGCACAAACUUCACAGCCGAUGAAGUCAAGUCAUGGUGCAAAAAUAUGGGCAUUAAGCUUGACUAUGCGUCAGUCUAUCACCCUCAAACCAACGGUCAAGUGGAAAGAGCAAAUGGUCUAAUAAUGAGCGGCAUUAAACCCAGAUUGGUGAGGUCACUCACCAAAUCCGAUACCCAAUGGGUCGAGGAGCUCGACUCCGUACUUUGGGGGCUGCGGACGACGCCUAACCGUACUACCGGAUUCACACCAUUCUUUAUGGUAUAUGGCGUAGAGGCAGUCUUGCCCUGCGACAUUAUUCAUGACUCACCUCGAGUGCGCAUGUAUGAGGAAAGAGAAGCCGAGCUAGAUCGGCAGGACAGCUUGGACACAUUGGAGGAAGAACGGGACGUUGCGAAGGCUCGUUCCGCAUUCUAUCAGCAACAGGCCCGAAGAUAUCAAAGCAGAGAAGUACGGGCCAAAACUUACAACGUCGGCGAACUAGUUCUAUGCCUGCCGGACAAGAAAAAGGACAAGCUCAAGCCCAGUUGGGAAGGCCCCUUCAUUAUUGAUCAAGUACUGACCGGCGGAGCAUACCGUCUGCGAAACGCGUCGGACAACCGACUCGAGCCAAACCCAUGGAACGCAGCCCGACUCCGACGAUUCUAUGCCUAGCGCCGGACUAAGAGUUCGUCCCCUUCCCCCGUCCAACCUUAUAUAUAUUUCGGCUGUCUUCUUUUUUCUCUGUUUAUCCUUUUAUAAAUUAACAAAUCCCUUCGGGGCCUAUCUUCGCAUUUUUUGCAUACAUACGAUGUGCCAUCCGCACUCAUUAUUCCUGGGGGCUUCUUUUACAGAAGCUCAACUAUACGGGUUUUAUACCCAACACAUGUGUCAUGCUUCCACAUGUACCUUUUACUUGCCAUUAUAUGCAUCGAUAUGACUUAAGUUUUGGCCAAGCUGGGUUGCCUGGCUCCUGUGCUUACCCCUACAUUCCCGAUUGUUCGGCUAGGUGGUAAAGGGAGCACCUCUGCGAUUGUUACUGCCGAGUCAGCCGGAUGUGUACCUCAGACUGGGUGAAGCCGAAAGCUAGCGUUCUUAAGGGAAUAUUCGGUCGGUGAUUUAAAAGAUGACUUUUUACCUAACUUUCUUUUCCAUCUGCCACCAGAUGUUUUACUGCUCCAUUGGCAGUCCGGACAUGCACUUGAGGGCAUGCCACCCCAGCGAAAGGAACCCUUAACGGAACUAUUCUCCCUGGAAGAUGUUUCUUACUAACCAUGUAAUAUAACAUAACUAGUUGGGCACUUGUCUGAUAAAGCACUAAUGACCCCUACGCCUAGUCUCCAUGCAUACCACGAUUAUUUAUUAACCAAAAAGGUAUUCGGACACACUCCGGACCCUAGGGUCCCGAGGUCGAAGCGAAAAGGUCGGCAACGACAAACGAUCUACAAUCCGGCUAGAAGGCAUUUCACAUGUCAUUUUUAAAAGGAUAACAUACACUGUCAAGUUUAUUGAUUGUAUUCCUCCUCAAUCCCGUCUAACAGGCUGUCUAGCUUACAGCCCCGUUGGGAAAUUUAGCAGCCAGUUCUACCUGGCUGUACACUAAACUCACAGGGAUCUCCUUCCCGUCGGGCCCCACCGGUCCAACUUCGGCCAUAUGGUUGGGAUCCGCCUUCUUGUACCGCGUCUUCACCAUGGCCCAAGCCUCCCUGGCACCUUGACGGCAGGCCGAAACCUUCCACAAACGGAAGCGCUGCCGCACUCCCUGUAGCUUCUCUGCAAGCUCCCCGAGGCCCUCGGGCGGGACGAGGGAUGGCCAUAAAGCCUGUAUGACGCCACUCAUUGCCUGUCGAACUAGUUCGAACAGCUGCAACAGUUCGGGAAGUUGAUCACCCAUUGAUACAGACAUCUCCUCCACAGGAUGGCCCGUGAGUAUAUCUACAAGACAUAUUAUGUCAAAUCGCUUCCUUGCAGAACUCCUCUUCCUAAGAGAGUUCGCUCAAGCACUUACUAUAGAUGCUGCGACGAAGCCGUUGAUUCUCCUUAAUGGAGCCGGACAGCUCGGCCUGUGCACCUUUCAGCUCUUCUCCGAGCUUGGCGUUGGCAUCUUGAAGCUUGUUCCUUUCCUGCUGAACUCUGUUCAGCACAUUUUCGCCGGCUUUUAGCUGGCGUAGUAGCGCUUGCCUGUCCAGAUCUUGUUCGGCAGCACCUACAGUGUCGUUAUCAGACUCGUGUGCACGCCACACAGCGCUUAUAUUAAUUUAUACAAACGUGUUACCAGGUGGGGUCUUCCCGUCUCCUCCUGCGGCAGCAAGUGCAGCCCCAAGUUGGGCCUUGCAAUCUUGCAGCUCCCGGGACAGCUGGGCAUUCUUCUCGUUAAGAGCCUGAAAGUUCAUAUGAUCCUUAAAUCAGUUAACAUAACUAAUUUAAGUCUCGGGGGCUACUGGUGUAUACAACCAUUAAAAUUCCCUUACCCGUAUGUCUUUAACAUACUGCUCCAUGGCCCAGGUAAAACCAUUUUGAGCAGCCCAGAGAUGCGCGUCCCCUGCGUUAAAGGCAUCCAAUGCCUCAGGGGAAAAGCAUGCCUCUUGAAAAACUGUCCGGCGAUGUCUAUGAUUCAUAGCGCUCUCCACCUCUGACUUUGUGGCGGACAGUCUGUCGGUAUCCUCCGUUUGAGUAGGAUCCGGUUCGCGUCUUGCGCUUGCCUCCCCCUCCAGUCCGGGCGCUGGAGCCUAGCUGGUGUUGAUUGGGUUGGCAAUUCCUGUGCUCGCAGUCCGGCGAGCGCUUUUUCUUCUAUGAAGAUCAUGAGCACUUAGAAGUUUCCUCGGAACAUUGCUCAGAAAGAUCAAACACGAGCUAUACCUCUGCGGCGACGUUUUAGCCUGCACGGCGCUCCUUUUCCUCCUGCUGGUUCGGCCUGACCUCUGUACGUCGGCCGCCGCAGGCUCGGCUCCCGGCCGGAUUGGCGCUUCCUGCAAGACACCAUCGUUCGCGAAGGUCAGAAUAGGCAAGGAUAAGAUAACCGUGUCCGGACUUCGGUCUUGGUCACCUGGGAUGCCGAACUUAGCCCGGGGUAGUCCGCCGUAAUGGCGACCAACGCAUCAUCAACGCUUAGCUGGUGAUACACCCCGUCGAUUAGCUCCACCCCGAGGUCCGGAUCCUCUUCGGAGGCUGGACCCAGGGAUCCUUCCGGGUCCUCGGGUUGUGGAGCAGGACUCACCAUGUCCUCCACGGUCCGGUGUAGACUCUGCGCCGAAGACGUAAUAUAAGAGGCUUAAACUUCGAAAAUACGGGUAAAGACCCUUUUGAGGUGUUCGCUUACCCAUCCUCUGGGAUUGACCAUGGAAAACCCAUCCACAGGGUUCGGACGAAGGAAGUCCUCCUUCUCCCCCUUGUACAGGCCGGACAGGAUCUUCACCAGAUCCUCGGUCGAAUCCGGGCCUUUGCGGCCGUGCCGGGUGGCAUCGUCCUCCCCAUUGAAAUCCCACAUGGGGUGGCCUCUGUAUUGCAGCGGCUGCACCCCCCGCUUGAUGCACGUCGCCAUGACUCCAAUCAUGGUCAAGCCGGAAUGAGCCAUUAGUCUUAUUCGGCCCAUCAAGUAAUGGACGCUCUUGUCCUCCUCCAAACGAGGGCUCCACGGGCGCCAGCUGAGGCGUUUCUUCAAGGGAGCAGCAUCAAACUCCAGGAGGCCAAUCCGGACUGGGUCGGGCAGCGGAGCGUCUACAAUAUAAAACCACUCCGAGGGCCAGUCUUCGGACGCCCUCUUGGGGGUGCCGGAUAGGUAUCCGGUCCCAGCAAUGCGCCAUAUUUCGGCGCUGCCCACUUGAUAUAUGGACCCCUGGUGAGAACGGGGUACGAGGCAGAACAGCCUCUUCCACAAUGCGAAAUGGGGCUCGAUGCCCAGGAAUAGCUCGCAAAGAGCUACAUAGCCCGCGAUGUGCAACACAGAAGCGGGCGUGAGGUGGUGGAGCUGAAGUCCGUAGAACUUCAGGAGCCCGCGGAGGAACGGAUGUAUUGGAAACCCGAGCCCCCUUAUUAGAUAAGGGACGAAACACACCCGCUCCCCCCUGUUGGGGCUUGGGGUGUCCUCCGCCUGGCUCCCUCCUCGAUAAGUAACCAGUCCGGCUCGGACCGGAACCAUGAAGGCCGGAGGGAGCCAUCCCUCCGUUUGGAGCUUUACUAGCUCGUUGUGCGAAAUAGAGCACCUCCUCCAAUCCCCCGGCGUGUGGCUGGGAGCGCGUGAAGAAGAGCCGCGUUGAUAAUCCAUGGUGGAAUGGAUUUCAGGGUCAGAGGCGCUUCGAUGGAGUAUACGCGGGAGGAGGAUGGUGCGGUUUGGAUCUGGAUCCCUGCCCCUUUAAUAGGCAGGUGACCCGCACAACCAGGGGGUAAAAUGUAAAAGACUCCCUGGCUUUUCGCAUUCGUGCGACGCGUGGAAGAGGGCCAUAAUUUGGCAUAGAAGCCAAAAAGCACAGUAUUAGAGGUAAAGCCGGACGCUGUUCGGCAGGAACAUGGAAUUUGAAGGGAGAACCCGCCUUGCAACGCCGAAGACUACAAGCACGCUGGACUUAUCGUCAUUGAAGCCUGGUUCGGGGGCUACUGAGGGAGUCCUGGACUAGGGGGUGUCCGGAUAGCCGGACUAUCAAUAUCCGCCGGACUCCCAGACUACGAAGAUAGAAGAUUGAAGACUCCGGCUCGUGUCCGGAAGGUACUUUCCUUCGCGUGGAAGGCAAGGUUCGCGAUACGGAUAUGUAGAUCUCCUACCAUUGUAACUGACUCUGUGUAACCCUAGCCUCUCCGGUGUCUAUAUAAACCGGAGGGCUUUAGUCCAUAGGACACAACAUUACAUCUCAACAAUCAUACCAUAGGCUAGCUUCUAGGGUUUAGCCUCCUUGAUCUCGUGGUAGAUCUACUCUUGUACUACCCAUAUCAUCAAUAUUAAUCAAGCAGGACGUAGGGUAUUACCUCCAUCGAGAGGGCCUGAACCUGGGUAAAAACAUUGUGUCCCUCGUCUCCUGUUACCAUCCGCCUAGACGCACAGUUCGGG
rnacentral:lncRNA from 1 species